ACUCUGAGUGAUGGCUACAAAGAGUCACAAAGAUGAUCUGCAAGCCAGUGCCUUGCUGGGUGCUCUCUCUGGAUCUUGAGGUCUAAACUGUCUUGGAUGGAGGAACAUUCAGAGAGAGUUAGCUGCAUUUUGGACCCAGGAUCCUGAGCUACAGACAUCAAAGUGAGCGGCUUCUCCGUUCUGCACCAGCAGACGUGCUGGAGGUUGAACGGCAGAUUCCGUCUAUUUGAGAACAUCCUCAAGCAGAUAGUCUGAGGCGCCCUUCCUUCCGAGGCAGAGUGCUUGGACCAGCUAGGAAGACAGCUGACACGCCUUAUCUAGCUGCUUAUCUGGGACCUUGUGGACUGCCCUUGGAAACAGAACCAAAUCUGCCUAAUCAAAAUGGAUGCAACAUGGACAAAAUGGCAUGCCUCUGCAUCUGUGGGGUCUCUGUACUGCAGCAGAGGCAAACAGUCCCAAAGAAAAUAGUCCAAGCACAAUAGAAACUCUACUGAAAACAGAUGAGUGUUAAGAAAUAAAUUUGGAACAACCCCUUUCGUCAUUAA
rnacentral:lncRNA from 1 species